rnacentral:tRNA from 1 species
UGGGGUAUAGCUUAGUUGGUAGAGUUCUUGCCUCACAGGUACAAGGCCCUGGGUUCAAUCCCCAGCAUCACAA